rnacentral:lncRNA from 1 species
CUUAGUGGCUCAAACUUUUUGAUCACUUAAUUGCCAUCACUGACUCGGCCAUAGCUCCUCUCUAAAAAUCAAAACGUCCACUCCAGGAAGAACAGAGGUUCUUCUAGUCUAGGCACAGGGAGUGGACUUGUGUCUCUGAGGUUGGGGACGCCGAUGGGGUUAGAGGCACAGAACAUGACUAAGACAACCACCCUCCCACCCCUUGCCAUUGCUGCUGCAAAGAAGGAGGGUUAUAUUUCCCAGAAGUUCAUUACUGCCAAAGGGUGACCAGUUCCCUGGGUGAGUUGGGUGUGGCAGGACUGGGAAGAGAGAUUUCCAGGGGUUAGCAGUUGGUGGAGAAAUGUUCCCCAGUAUCUCCCAGGUCCAAGAGCGAAGAGUUAGUGGGCCUCUCAGGCAGCCGAAGACCCAGGCAACCCCCGGCCGACCGAGACUCACUUCCGGGUUUGGAAGCGCUCCUCCAGGCCCCUCCCCAUACUGGGUUACGGGUGUCUCCGGGCGCAUGCGCAGCGCUCAGGCGCCGCUCUGGGACUGGCCCAACUUACCUAAACAACUAAUCUGCUCCUCCCCCUCUCGCUUGGGGCGUACCAUUCGCGUUUGGGGGAAAGCAACGUGCCCCAGAGUACUCAGAAGCCUGCUCCCCUUUUUCACACGAGGGGAAGGUCGAGUGGUGCGGCCCGCCUCCAGCUGACCGGCCUGGAAUCCCGGCUCGGAGCCCCGGACUCGCGCCCGCCCGCGCGCCCGCUCCNNNNNNNNNNNNNNNNNNNNNNNNNNNNNNNNNNNNNNNNNNNNNNNNNNNNNNNNNNNNNNNNNNNNNNNNNNNNNNNNNNNNNNNNNNNNNNNNNNNNNNNNNNNNNNNNNNNNNNNNNNNNNNNNNNNNNNNNNNNNNNNNNNNNNNNNNNNNNNNNNNNNNNNNNNNNNNNNNNNNNNNNNNNNNNNNNNNNNNNNNNNNUGGUCAGGCCUCGGGGCCCUGGGAGGCCGGAACCCUGGGGACUGGGCCCAGGCCGGGCCUUCGGGGAGGGGGCAGGGGCCGCGUCCUGAGGGAGGGUGCGGCGUGGGGAGCUGGGGGUGGGCAGAGGAGGCCCUGCCCGAGGUGUGCUGCCACCCUCGGGACUGCCUGCCGGAGACUUGGGCCGAAAGGGGCCGCCCGGGCCUGGUAAGGGGGGCAGGGCUGCGGGCAGCGAUGAGGGGGCGGUGUUGGCACCUCCGGGUGGAGCUGAGGUGCCCCCUUCUCUUGGCUUGUGAAGGCCAGCCCUUCCUCCCCUCUUUGGUAGGAGUUGGUGCCCAGGCAGUAGGAGGGUAUUUCCUCUGACUUUUUCACCUCCCCUGCUCCCUGUCCCCCAGAGACUUGCAUCAUCACUUCCUAAAUUAUAUCCCAGUGCCCCAUUUGCUUUUAGGAAGCUGUUCACACGUCACCCAUUUUUACAAGUCAGGCCCAGAACCCAGGCUAGGGUAAAGUUAUAAGACUGUCGAGGUCUCACCUUUAUUUAAAGCACGUUUCAGAAGAUCUGUAAUAUUUCCUUGUCAAAAAAACUCAAGUCAGCUGGCUUAAGAAUGUGAGAGCCAAUUAGCUCAAUUGGGUCAAAUUUUCCUUCUUUCCUCACUUUUUUUUUUUUAAUUCAUGAUAAAAGUAUCCGCCUUGGCCAGCCUGUGUUAUUACUUGGCCAUCCUGUGUUAAGAGUGAAAAUAUAUGAGAUGGGAAAUCAACUUUCCCACCUGUAGUUAGAGUUUAAAUUCUCCUUGUAACAUUUGGAGAGUUUUUAUGGAUUGCCACCCGUCUUACCUAACAGGUGCUUGCAUCAUACCUUUUGACUCUAGAUCUGUUGUAAGGAAACAGGAGACUUUGAAGGCCGACUUGUGAGGUUUAGUCCUCUGUUUUGUUUUUACUUUCCAAAGAUAACCUUGUAUUUGGAAGUGCUUAGAGGCAGUAAGGAACUGAUUAUUUCUGGUGAGGACAUCUUGGGAAGAUGUAUUGAAGUAUUUUAUCUCUGCUGUUUCUCACAUCCUGGGAACUCUUGAGGUAGAAAUUAAAGCUAUGAUUUUUGGGAGUGCAGAGCAAGAUUAGAAAGUGGGUCUUGAUAUAGAUUUUUGUGCAGUUUAUCCUAUCCAAAAAUUAUGACCAAAAAAUCAGUUCUGACCUUCUCAUCCUUCUGCCUUUACUUUCUUAAAAAUUUCUCAGUGAAAGGACAUUAGUUAAAAAUAAGUUAUGGCAUUACCAAAAGUUCUGAAGAUGUGAAAGUAUCUUAGGUUUUAUAGUCUACUUUUUGAUUUGAAAAUAGUAAUUGUGUUGUCUGCUAAGUGGUUUCACAGUCUUAAUUACCACAGGAAUCUUAAGUAGGAAUCAUUAUCUCUUUAUUUAUAAUAGAUGGGGAAACCAAGGCUUUACUUACAGAUGGGGAAACUUCCCUUCGAAUACAAGGAUUUCAGGGUGGAUGGAGCUGGUGAGCUCUUUAGAAUGUUUAAUACCAUCACGUUUAUGACAUCAGUCUGCUGUCCUGGAAAAAUCUGGUGUCACAAGCCUUGGAUUGUAACUCAUAAAGAAGACAUGUGGCUCAAGGAAAGUAGCUGCCAGUGGCAGCUAAUGCCCAGGAUGUAUCAGAGAGCCAUUUCCUGGCAACAUGUUUAUGUCCUUGGGACUGUUAUUAUGAGUGGAACCCUUACUAAAAGAUAUAUCACAACUUAGAAAUUGAGGGAAUAGAAUAGUUUCUUACCUUUAGCCAGCAGAGUUCUGCGUAAUGCAAGGAGAGUUUGUUAGUAGCAGAGAGAAAUGGUUAUACUCAUGCCAUACUUAACCUGUAAGCAACCAGGGCUGCUUUUUUUGAUAAUUUCAGUUUGGCACUUUUUAUGAACUGCAGUUUGCCUAACAGGAAUAGUGAAAACAAAGUUAAUAUUUUUAUAGUGAAAGAUUUUCUUUUUAGCCUUUCCUAAGGGUGUUCGAAGGCACAUGUAUAGUUCGCACACAAAAUUGCCACCUAGUUUGCGUUAUAUCAUGACUGACUUUGAACCUGGUUCCCUUAUUGCAUGGGUUACAUUGAUGUGUGUUUAAACUUAGAAUGUAGUUGGCAAAUAUUUGGGUGCCUCUGAGGCACUGGCAACAUCCUCUGGGUGCAGGGGGCACGGAGGAGUAAAAUUACAAGUGUGUUAGGCUUGGUGUAGGGUGUGAUGGAAGGGGCACCUAGUCCAGCUGAGGUGGAGGCAGAAGAAGAGGAAGAAGAAGGUAGAGGAAGGUAACCACCAGCCUAGUCCUGUAGGAAGACUAGGAGCGAGUGGAAAUAGAUGGGGAGAAGGGUUUCUUUCAGACGGAGGGAAUAGCAUGGGUGAAGGCCUGGAUGUUAAGAGCACGACACAUUUGAGGAGCUGAAAGUUCAUUGGAGUGGAUUGAGGAGUCAGAUAGAAAUGAGGCCGAGGUGGUGAGAGCAAGUGAUGCUUAAGGCUUUGGAUUUUUAUCCUGAGUGCACUGGGGAGCUGUCGAAAAACUUUUGAGUUGUGAGGUGAUUUUUUUAAAGUGAAAGAUUACUGGAUGAUUUUGAGGAUGGCCUGGGUAUGUGGGUAUAAUUGUGUGUGUCUGUGUGUUUGUGGAAUUGUUGCCAAGUCCAGAGGUACAGAAUGGCUAGGAGCAGUGCUCUACCUCUGUUGUGGCCAGAGAAUGGAGAGAAGUAGCUGUCAGAGCUGUUCAGGAAGUAUCUUGCCUUUUCCCUUCAUGAACAUGAAGGUGUUCUCUGAAAACUUUAGUCAGCAUUGCACUCUGGAGAAGCCACAGGUCUUAAAAGUCAGCUAGCCAGGGCCCACACCCAGCCCUUUGCGGAGGAGCCUCUCAGCAGAAUGUUCUGGCACUAGCAGAGCAGUUCCUUUGGGAUUGCUUUUCUCUCCAGUGACUUAGGCUGUAGGAUUUGCUGCCCAGCACUGUCCACUCCGGUCAGUGGGGGUUGGUUAAAAGAGGAGAGCUUUGAGGUUGGUCUUAUGGGAAUGAAGUUAGAAAGGAGAAUGCCAAGAGGAUCAUGCAAUGCAAAUAUGGUCAUGCUCAGAACACACACAGUUUCUAGUUUUCUCUUCUUUGGCUUUAUAUUGUGAAAUUAUGUGUAGGUAUCUUUACUUUUUUAUAACAAGACCACUGGGAAACUUUGCCUCUUUGGAAAUUGUUGAAGAUUUACCUCUUUAUAAGUUGGAAGAUGUUUCUUUACUACAUAAAUGUUUUUUAGGGUUAAUCAUAAACAGUUUUUUUCUCCAAGACAUGGACUUAAAACUUUUAGUGCAAUAUGAGCAUGAGCAUUUUCUUGGCUUAUUUUAGGCAUUCAGUAAUCAUGCAAAAAACAUGUUAGUUUAUAAUCACCAAAUCUGAAAUCUGAAAGUCAAUUAGUGCAUUUUCUUUAGUUGAAAUGCUUAUAUAUGUAAAAGUGCUUUUAAAUUGUAUAGAUACGAGUGGUAUUAGUUGAAGCUAUGUUUUAAAUUGUUUAGACGUGUAAAGUACACUGAAGGAUAUAGAUUCCUCAUGGAUAUUUUCAAAAUUAUCUAAAAGCUUUAAAUUAGAAAGAGCAGGAGUUCCUGUCGUGGCGCAGUGGUUAACGAAUCCGACUAGGAACCAUGAGGUUGAGGGUUCGGUCCCUGCCCUUGCUCAGUGGGUUAACGAUCUGGCGUUGCCGUGAGCUGUGGUGUAGGUUGCAGACGCGGCUCGGAUCCCGCGUUGCUGUGGCUCUGGCGUAGGCCAGUGGCUACAGCUCCGAUUCGACCCCUAGCCUGGGAACCUCCAUAUGCCGAGGGAGCAGCCCAAAGAAACAGCAAAAAGACUAAAUAAAUACAUAAAAAAAAAAAAAAUUAGAAAGAGC